rnacentral:rRNA from 1 species
UCGAGCGGUAGAGAGAAGCUUGCUUCUCUUGAGAGCGGCGGACGGGUGAGUAAUGCCUAGGAAUCUGCCUGGUAGUGGGGGAUAACGCUCGGAAACGGACGCUAAUACCGCAUACGUCCUACGGGAGAAAGCAGGGGACCUUCGGGCCUUGCGCUAUCAGAUGAGCCUAGGUCGGAUUAGCUAGUUGGUGAGGUAAUGGCUCACCAAGGCGACGAUCCGUAACUGGUCUGAGAGGAUGAUCAGUCACACUGGAACUGAGACACGGUCCAGACUCCUACGGGAGGCAGCAGUGGGGAAUAUUGGACAAUGGGCGAAAGCCUGAUCCAGCCAUGCCGCGUGUGUGAAGAAGGUCUUCGGAUUGUAAAGCACUUUAAGUUGGGAGGAAGGGCAGUUACCUAAUACGUAUCUGUUUUGACGUUACCGACAGAAUAAGCACCGGCUAACUCUGUGCCAGCAGCCGCGGUAAUACAGAGGGUGCAAGCGUUAAUCGGAAUUACUGGGCGUAAAGCGCGCGUAGGUGGUUUGUUAAGUUGGAUGUGAAAUCCCCGGGCUCAACCUGGGAACUGCAUUCAAAACUGACAAGCUAGAGUAUGGUAGAGGGUGGUGGAAUUUCCUGUGUAGCGGUGAAAUGCGUAGAUAUAGGAAGGAACACCAGUGGCGAAGGGGACCACCUGGACUGAUACUGACACUGAGGUGCGAAAGCGUGGGGAGCAAACAGGAUUAGAUACCCUGGUAGUCCACGCCGUAAACGAUGUCAACUAGCCGUUGGGAGCCUUGAGCUCUUAGUGAGCAACUAACGCAUUAAGUUGACCGCCUGGGGAGUACGGCCGCAAGGUUAAAACUCAAAUGAAUUGACGGGGCCCGCACGAGCGAGGAGCAUGAGUUUGAUCGAA